AGGGCGCACGGUGGAUGCCUUGGCACUAGAAGCCGAUGAAGGACGUUACUAACGACGAUAUGCUUUGGGGAGCUGUAAGUAAGCUUUGAUCCAGAGAUUUCCGAAUGGGGAAACCCAGCAUGAGUUAUGUCAUGUUAUCGAUAUGUGAAUACAUAGCAUAUCAGAAGGCACACCCGGAGAACUGAAACAUCUUAGUACCCGGAGGAAGAGAAAGAAAAUUCGAUUCCCUUAGUAGCGGCGAGCGAAACGGGAAGAGCCCAAACCAACAAGCUUGCUUGUUGGGGUUGUAGGACACUCUAUACGGAGUUACAAAGGACGACAUUAGACGAAUCAUCUGGAAAGAUGAAUCAAAGAAGGUAAUAAUCCUGUAGUCGAAAAUGUUGUCUCUCUUGAGUGGAUCCUGAGUACGACGGAGCACGUGAAAUUCCGUCGGAAUCUGGGAGGACCAUCUCCUAAGGCUAAAUACUCUCUAGUGACCGAUAGUGAACCAGUACCGUGAGGGAAAGGUGAAAAGCACCCCGGAAGGGGAGUGAAAUAGAACCUGAAACCGUGUGCUUACAAGUAGUCAGAGCCCGUUAAUGGGUGAUGGCGUGCCUUUUGUAGAAUGAACCGGCGAGUUACGAUUUGAUGCAAGGUUAAGCAGUAAAUGUGGAGCCGUAGCGAAAGCGAGUCUGAAUAGGGCGUUUAGUAUUUGGUCGUAGACCCGAAACCAGGUGAUCUACCCUUGGUCAGGUUGAAGUUCAGGUAACACUGAAUGGAGGACCGAACCGACUUACGUUGAAAAGUGAGCGGAUGAACUGAGGGUAGCGGAGAAAUUCCAAUCGAACCUGGAGAUAGCUGGUUCUCUCCGAAAUAGCUUUAGGGCUAGCCUCAAGUGAUGAUUAUUGGAGGUAGAGCACUGUUUGGACGAGGGGCCCCUCUCGGGUUACCGAAUUCAGACAAACUCCGAAUGCCAAUUAAUUUAACUUGGGAGUCAGAACAUGGGUGAUAAGGUCCGUGUUCGAAAGGGAAACAGCCCAGACCACCAGCUAAGGUCCCAAAAUAUAUGUUAAGUGGAAAAGGAUGUGGCGUUGCCCAGACAACUAGGAUGUUGGCUUAGAAGCAGCCAUCAUUUAAAGAGUGCGUAAUAGCUCACUAGUCGAGUGACACUGCGCCGAAAAUGUACCGGGGCUAAACAUAUUACCGAAGCUGUGGAUUGUCCUUUGGACAAUGGUAGGAGAGCGUUCUAAGGGCGUUGAAGCAUGAUCGUAAGGACAUGUGGAGCGCUUAGAAGUGAGAAUGCCGGUGUGAGUAGCGAAAGACGGGUGAGAAUCCCGUCCACCGAUUGACUAAGGUUUCCAGAGGAAGGCUCGUCCGCUCUGGGUUAGUCGGGUCCUAAGCUGAGGCCGACAGGCGUAGGCGAUGGAUAACAGGUUGAUAUUCCUGUACCACCUAUAAUCGUUUUAAUCGAUGGGGGGACGCAGUAGGAUAGGCGAAGCGUGCGAUUGGAUUGCACGUCUAAGCAGUAAGGCUGAGUAUUAGGCAAAUCCGGUACUCGUUAAGGCUGAGCUGUGAUGGGGAGAAGACAUUGAGUCUUCGAGUCGUUGAUUUCACACUGCCGAGAAAAGCCUCUAGAUAGAAAAUAGGUGCCCGUACCGCAAACCGACACAGGUAGUCAAGAUGAGAAUUCUAAGGUGAGCGAGCGAACUCUCGUUAAGGAACUCGGCAAAAUGACCCCGUAACUUCGGGAGAAGGGGUGCUCUUUAGGGUUAACGCCCAGAAGAGCCGCAGUGAAUAGGCCCAAGCGACUGUUUAUCAAAAACACAGGUCUCUGCUAAACCGUAAGGUGAUGUAUAGGGGCUGACGCCUGCCCGGUGCUGGAAGGUUAAGAGGAGUGGUUAGCUUCUGCGAAGCUACGAAUCGAAGCCCCAGUAAACGGCGGCCGUAACUAUAACGGUCCUAAGGUAGCGAAAUUCCUUGUCGGGUAAGUUCCGACCCGCACGAAAGGCGUAACGAUUUGGGCACUGUCUCAACGAGAGACUCGGUGAAAUCAUAGUACCUGUGAAGAUGCAGGUUACCCGCGACAGGACGGAAAGACCCCGUGGAGCUUUACUGUAGCCUGAUAUUGAAAUUCGGCACAGCUUGUACAGGAUAGGUAGGAGCCUUUGAAACGUGAGCGCUAGCUUACGUGGAGGCGCUGGUGGGAUACUACCCUAGCUGUGUUGGCUUUCUAACCCGCACCACUUAUCGUGGUGGGAGACAGUGUCAAGCGGGCAGUUUGACUGGGGCGGUCGCCUCCUAAAAGGUAACGGAGGCGCUCAAAGGUUCCCUCAGAAUGGUUGGAAAUCAUUCAUAGAGUGCAAAGGCAUAAGGGAGCUUGACUGCGAGACCUACAAGUCGAGCAGGGUCGAAAGACGGACUUAGUGAUCCGGUGGUUCCGCAUGGAAGGGCCA
rnacentral:rRNA from 1 species